GGAUUGCCCCAGUAACGGCGAGUGAAGCGGCAACAGCUCAGAUUUGAAAUCUGCCUUUACGGGCCGAGUUGUAAUCUGUAGAGGAUGCUUUUGGCAAGGCGCCGUCCGAGUUCCCUGGAACGGGACGCCGGAGAGGGUGAGAGCCCCGUACAGGCGGACGCCGAGCCUUUGUAAAGCUCCUUCGACGAGUCGAGUAGUUUGGGAAUGCUGCUCAAAGCGGGAGGUAAAUUUCUUCUAAAGCUAAAUAUAGGCCAGAGACCGAUAGCGCACAAGUAGAGUGAUCGAAAGAUGAAAAGCACUUUGAAAAGAGGGUUAAAAAGCACGUGAAAUUGUUGAAAGGGAAGCGCCUGUGACCAGACUCGCGCCCGGCGGAUCAUCCGGCGUUCUCGCCGGUGCACUCCGUCGGGCUCGGGCCAGCAUCGGUUCUAGCGGGGGGAUAAAGGCGGCGGGGAUGUGGCUCCCUCGGGAGUGUUAUAGCCCGCCGCUCAAUGCCCUCGCCGGGACCGAGGACCGCGCAUUUAUGCAAGGAUGCUGGCGUAAUGGUCACCAGCGACCCGUCUUGAAACACGGACCAAGGAGUCAAGCAUUAGGGCGAGUGUUUGGGUGUAAAACCCGCACGCGAAAUGAAAGUGAACGUAGGUGGGAGCCUCGGCGCACCAUCGACCGAUCCUGAAGUCUUCGGAUGGAUUUGAGUAAGAGCCUUAACGCUUGGACCCGAAAGAUGGUGAACUAUGCUUGUGUAGGGUGAAGCCAGAGGAAACUCUGGUGGAGGCUCGCAGCGGUUCUGACGUGCAAAUCGAUCGUCAAACAUGAGCAUGGGGGCGAAAGACUAAUCGA
rnacentral:rRNA from 1 species